AUAAUGAAAUCUUUGCUAUUGUUGUUCAGCAUGAGAGGUCUGUUAGUGUUUCUAUCUCUGUCAGUGAGUCCAACAUCUUGCUUGCUGGGAGAUAUAUGCAUGGAAAUAAGAAUAAUCAGCUUGAUGAUUCAGGGGGUGGUCAUAAUUUGUUGUUCAGCAUGAGUGGUCUGUUAGUGUUUCUAUCUCUGUCAGUGAGUCUAAAAUCUUGCUUGCUGGGAGAUAUAUGCAUGGAAAUAAGAAUAAUCAGCUUGAUGAUUCAGGGAGUGGUCAUAAUUUGAAGAAAUUUUUUAAUGCUGGUGAAAAACCCACCUGUACAUAUUGUGGUAUCUAUGGACAUUCCAUAGAUAAAUGAUAUCGUAAACAUGGUUUUCCACCUGGUUAUAAGAGUUCUAAUAGAGGACAGACCAGCAAAGCAAGUCAGGUUAUUACUUCUGAUAGUCAAGAACCUAUAGCCUCUAAUUUUUUUUAGAUACAAGGAAUGGAUCUUUUUCUUUUACUAAGGAGCAAUACAAUAGCUUGAUGUCUUUACUGCAAGAAAGAGAGGCUACACAGAAUUUAGCAUCUCAAAUCAAUGCUAUUUCAUCAGUCUUUGAUGCAACUUCAGCAUCAUGAAUCAGGUAUGGUUUUUGCUUGUUCUGGUCAGAUUUCUAAGGAUAAAUGGAUUGUAGACUCAGGAGCUACAGAUCACAUUGUCAAUUCAUUUCAUUAUUUUCAAGAUGCUUAUCCUGUUAAUGAUAAGUUUGUUAAACUUCCUAAUAACCAGUUAGCUAAAGGUACACACAUAAAAACGGUUAAAAUCUCUUCAAGUUUAGUUCUCAAAAAAGGUGUUUUACAUACCUGGCUUUACUUUUAAUUUGAUUUCUACUUCUCAGCUUACAAGGGAUGAUUAUUGUUGUUUAAUUUUUUUUCCUUUGAUUCUUGUGUUAUGCAGGGUUUGAAUCCUUGAAAGAUGAUUUGUAUAGCUAAGCUGCUUGAUGGCCUCUAUGAGUUAGAAACAUGUGCUACUCAAUAUUCUUCUGUUUCUAGUUGUAAAAACUUGAAUUUAGAUCUUUGGCAUAAUAGGCUAGGACAUCCUGCUAAGCAGUGAAUGAAAUUUUUUUCUCAGUUGGACAAUGAUGUUUCUAUUGAUUCUGUUUUUGAAUGUGAGACUCAUCACUUGGCUAAGCAUAAGAGACUUCCUUUUCCUAUUAGCAAAACUGUUAUCGCUUCUUGUUUUGACUUAGUUCAUAUGGAUGUAUGGGGACCACUUUCUGUUAAAAACAUAUAUGGUCAUACUUAUUUUUUGACUGUUGUAGAUGAAAAAAGUAUAUUUUUUGGAUAUUUACUAUGAAAGCAAAGUUUGAGGUAAGAAAGUUAAUAGUUGAUUUCUAUAAUUUGGUAGAAACUCAGUUUUCUGUUAGAAUUAAUUUUUUUAGAACUGAUAAUGCUAAGGAAUUUGAUCAAGUAGAUUUAUUUAAGGAGAAGGGUAUUGUGCAUCAAAAUUAUUGUACACACAUACCACAGCAAAAUAGCGUAGUUGAAAGGAAGCAUCAGCAUAUUCUAUCUGUUCCAAGGGCAUUAAGAAAUCAUUCUAAUCUUCUUCUUAUUUUUUUGGAUGGAUUGAAUCUUACAUUAUGUAUUUCUUAUUAAUAUUACACCUACACCAGUGUUAGAUAAUUUGACUCCUUUUGAAGUCUUAAAUAAAAAACGGAUUUUGAACCAGCUUAAGGUGUUUGGAUGUUUAGCUUUUGCAUGUCUUACCUAAAGCUAGAACAAAAAUGCAUCCUAGAGCUAUUAAAUGUGUUUUUCUUGGUUUACCUGAAAAUAUAAAAAGAUACAGGUUAUAUGACCUAGACAGCAAAUUUGUUUUUGUUUCAAGAGAUGUUUUUUUACUGAAGAUAAGUUCCCUUUUAAAGAAAAUACAGUGUUUUUAUUCUUCUGAUAUUGUUCUGCCAGCAUAUCAUAAUGAUUUUUUGUUGAGAAACAUGUCUGCUGCAGGUGUACCUGUAACAAAUUCCUCUUCAACUAAUACACCUACAGCAAGAUCUUUUACAAAUCCUUUCACUAAUGGGGAUCACAACAAUGUUGCUGGCAUGCCUACAGAUUCAUCACCAGUAGCUCCGAGGAUUCUACCUUCUCGUUCAAUCCGACCGUCUAGAAGUGUUAAUUUACCACAAAGCUCGUAGGGUUCUUCGUUAUUUGAAAGGAACUCCAGGGCAAGGAUUGUUUUUCCCAGCAGGAAAUGAUCGAAAUUUAAGGCUUUCAGUGAUUCUGAUUGAGCUUCGUAUCCUGAUUCUCGAAGAUCUCUAUUGCGACAAUCUUUCAGAGAAUCUUGUCUACCAUGAACGUACAAAACACAGAGAGAUUGAUUGUCACUUAAUAUGCAGAAGCUGCAACAAGGAGUCGUCGUAUUAAUGCUAGAUUCAUCUCAUAAUCAGUUGGCUGAUUGUUUUACCAAAGCUUUACCUACAGCUUACUUUUUAGAGGUCUACUCUCAAGUUGGGCAUUCAAAAUUUGUAUGCUCCAACUUGAGGGGGGCUAACGGAAUGUAUAAGUUGUGCAAGUUUGUAAACGGGUAGUUAGUUAGGAGGUAGUUAGAGUUAAUAGCUACU